AUGUAACACCCACAGUUGCAUAAUCAAACCUUGAUAAUGGCAAAGUCAUUUUGGUUAGCAAUGUUUAGCUGAUGAAAAAUAGAUCUUUAGGUGAAGAUAAAUCGUUAGAUAUAAAGGAAGAUGAAUAAGAUAUUAAUAAACGAAUGUUUCCCUUAUUUUCUAAAGAAGAAAUACUACAUCAGAAGAAGAAGAACUAUUAGUAUUUUUAGGAGAAAAUGUAUCUCGUUAAUAUCCCAAACUAUAACAAGCAUGAAGAAAAGCUCUGUGGUCUCAAUUAGCACCAACUUGCAAUUUGAAUAAGUGGGCCCGACACCAAGAGAAAGGGCCUCAAUGAUCCAGAUGAUAAUUCAGCUAGUUAGCAACGAACGGAGGCAGAGAGACAGCACGACUCGACACUACGUUUAAUAGCCUGCGAAGUUACUGGACGGUCGAGAAACGUCGAAACGUGGAUUCCCAUCG